rnacentral:rRNA from 1 species
GAUGAACGCUGGCGGCGUGCCUAAUACAUGCAAGUCGAGCGAACAGACGAGGAGCUUGCUCCUCUGACGUUAGCGGCGGACGGGUGAGUAACACGUGGAUAACCUACCUAUAAGACUGGGAUAACUUCGGGAAACCGGAGCUAAUACCGGAUAAUAUAUUGAACCGCAUGGUUCAAUAGUGAAAGACGGUUUUGCUGUCACUUAUAGAUGGAUCCGCGCCGCAUUAGCUAGUUGGUAAGGUAACGGCUUACCAAGGCGACGAUGCGUAGCCGACCUGAGAGGGUGAUCGGCCACACUGGAACUGAGACACGGUCCAGACUCCUACGGGAGGCAGCAGUAGGGAAUAUUCCGCAAUGGGCGAAAGCCUGACGGAGCAACGCCGCGUGAGUGAUGAAGGUCUUCGGAUCGUAAAGCUCUGUUAUUAGGGAAGAACAAAUGUGUAAGUAACUAUGCACGUCUUGACGGUACCUAAUCAGAAAGCCACGGCUAACUACGUG